rnacentral:rRNA from 1 species
UACAACUUUCAGCAACGGAUCUCUUGGCUCUCCCAUCGAUGAAGAACGCAGCGAAAUGCGAUAAGUAAUGUGAAUUGCAGAAUUCAGUGAAUCAUCGAAUCUUUGAACGCACCUUGCGCCCCUUGGUAUUCCGAAGGGCAUGCCUGUUUGAGUGUCAUU